rnacentral:lncRNA from 1 species
CCCCAUGAUUCUGUUCCAAUCCUGCCACUUAAAACAUCAUUCAGUCUCUUUCAGCCUCUAAUACCUCAUUUGUAAAAUGGGAAAAAAAUAUUAAUAUCUUCUAUACCUCUCAGGAUGGUUUUUUUUUUUUUUUUUAAUUGCAUACAUAUAUUUGAGGUGUGGCAAAGAGCUACAGGUAAGAGUCAGGCAGAACUACUAAGCAGAAAGGAACUUUGAGAUCUUCAGGUUAAAAAGCUUCAAUUCACAGAUGUAUUGGUCAUUUCCCAUUUGUCUCUUUAUGUCCCUCUUCCAGUCUUCUUUACCUUGUUCCAAAACUCAGGAUGUUGCUUUCUUGAUGCUGUGGUGUUCACAGGGACUGCUGGGCUCUCAUGAGAUCAUGGGAAUGUGCUGGACAUCAUCGUUUGAAAUCUUCAGGCCACCAGGUACUGAUGACAUAAAUGACUUAUUACUAUUAACCAAAUUAACUGGAGGAGAGACUUGUGGGAAAGCGGAAGAAGUCUCUCCUUGUUCCAAAUCCAGGACUGGAGGCAUCUCAGUGGAUUCAAGACAAGAAACAUCUUGACAUGACUGUUGGAUUCCAUCCUCAUCAGAAGAGCCAAGCUUGCAUUCGGAGGAGGCACAAGAGAAAUAUCCUGUAGAGGCAGAGGAAGUUUCUCCUAUUAUAUUACUAGAGGCUGGGACCAUCACAAAUGACUCGGGCUGAGAACCACCCUCCUCAGACGACCAGGAAUCAGCAAAGAAGGAAGCACAGAAAGGGGACUCCCAGGAGACGUAUUCUAUUUCAGAGGCCAUCUUUCUUCCCUCAGGGUUCGGGACAUUGGACUCCAAAGAGCACCCUGAUGGUAGAUCACAUUCAUGUGAUUUUGAGGUUUCUAUUGACAUUUUUGCAAGGCUAGAGGAGUAUGUUCUUUCCACACCUCCUUUUUGGUUUCUAUUUCAUGGUUCAACUCUUUGGAGAGUGAUUCAAAUCAGGUAACUUUCUCCCUGAAAUUCUGUAGCCAGACAGUCAGCACGGGCUCAGCCUUCUCAUUACCACUGAAUGGUAGGCACAUUUACCAGGAAAUUCCUAGCCAUUUGAGAAUCAUUUACUCCGUGCCUGGAGUGAACUGAACCCUGGCCAGUGAACUGAAGUGGAGGAGUGCACAAUUAAAUCAAGACCCAUCAGAAAGAGCUGGAAAGAAACCCUUAUUCCCAAUGCCUUCUGGGUCCAUAGGUGGCAGGAGAGAAACAUAUAGAAAGCACACUCUUCACUCCCUUACUAACUCUGCCUGGAAGAUGUGCAGCGACUUCCCUAACUGGUGAGUUAAAGAUAACUGAGCAUGCUUGGAGGUUUUCUGUGGAGGUGCACAGUGGUACACAUUAUGAACACCCUGAAAUGUCACUCUGUGCUAGUGCUCAGUAAGUUUAUCUUCCUCAAGAGUAAAAUAUCAGGAUGUCCGUUGUGACUUCAGUAUAAGCCAUGGCGUGUCUUUCAGCAUUUGUUGUUAACAGCUACUUUGUUCUCCAUCUCACUCAUUUGUUUCUGAAUUCAGGUGCAGAGGACCGGAAGACGUUUCUUCCCCUCUAAAAUUCCCAAAGGAUUUAUUCUCACUCAUUUCACACAAAGACAGUCAUUUGGGGAAAUGUAGCAGAGUUACAGGAACUUCUUUCACUUUUUUAACUUAUCAGAAAAUGCACUCAAACCUGGAAGCCAGGCUUAACUACAUAAGAGAGCUAGUCUUUUUUUUUUUUAACCUUCACUUCUAGCUCAUCUGUUGCAUUAAAUUCUGGUCACAAAAUGUCCUACCUCAGUUUGAUAUUAACUUCAUUUUUCCUCAUUACCAUCUCAUGGAAGAUUAGUAGGGUCUCCAAGAUAUUGUGGGUCAGGUCUGGAUAUUAAAUCUUAAAUCAUUUAGUUUAACCCUCUUUUAUUGGAUAUUGCUAUGUAUGUCUACUAUUAAUAGAUCUGUUUAUUCUAGAUUUACCCCGUUUCCUGUAUCCUCUCUCCACUACUUACACAUUUCACAGGUAGACAUAUAUAUAUGUAUAUAAACAUACAUAUAUAUGUUUACUUUAUAGUCAGAUAUACACUUAACAGAAUAAAAGAAUACUAGGUGAUUUAUUUACAUUAAUUAGAUCCUUGAUCUUAUUAUCAUUAUUUUAUAAAUAAGGAAGUGGAAGAUCAAGGAGAUCAACUUAUUUCCCCAGUCAUACAGUUUGAAAGUGACAGAUCAAGAAUUAAAAUCAUGUCUUGCUGACUGUUGAAUUCAUGUAUUUAACUACUGCUUAUGGUUUGAGAUUGUGUAAUGGCUUUGGAGAAUUUUAUUUUGUUUUUAAGUUCUAUAUUAAAAGCAUUUUCUUCUAUGUUUUAACUGAAAUUAUCAAAGAAAAGCUUAAUUUUCUAGUGAGUAUCAACACAGCCACCACCUAGGUUCUACAAUUAACACUUUACUAUCAUUGCUUUAGGCUAUAUCUGUCCAUCAAACUAUCCUUCUAUCCAUCCAUCAUCCCAUCUUAGCGUUAUGUAUUUUAAAGUUGCAGCUAUCAGUGUACUUUCCCCAAAUACUCCAGCAUGUAGCUCAUUAACUGGAGUUUGUUUAUAGAUUUUCUGUUGAUUUAAAAUUUACAUAAAAUGAAAUGUACAAAUCAUAACUGUACUAUUCCAUAAUUCCCUCUGCCAAAAACUACACAAAAGAGAGAAAAAAAAAAAAACUUUGAGGGGUAAGAAAGCUGGGACAGUGUUUUUCAAACACAGGAUGAGCUGUCAUAGGAAGAAAAGUGUAUCAGGCUGAUGUGCUGAUUCAGUGCUCAGUGUCUGCCAUCCUACAACCUAAUUGUGAGAACGUACCUUCUCUAAAUCUCAAUUUUCUCAUCUGUCAAAUUAAGAUAGUAUUACUCUCCUUCCAGGAUUAUUGUUAGCAUCAAAUGAGAUAAUACAUGCAAUGUGCUUCACCCAUUAUUGUUAUUAUCUUCAUUAAAUUAGCCAUGUUUAUCUUAAAAGAUACAGGAGAGGGACUUUUUGUAAUGCUAUGUUAGUGAACUAACUUGAUCUGUGAUUGGUUAUAAACUCCAAAUUCAGGAGAACAUGUAUACAGUAAUCAAGGAACUGCUCUGUGAUUAACCUCUGAGCUUUCUUAAUUAGUUUAUCUAAAGUUCACUUUCAUUUGUCACCACCACCUAUAUCCCAGGCUCUAUUGUAUGAUCUGGGGAAGUUAUGGAUCUUAGUAGGAAUAAUAGGGAACAAAUACUUAUAAAUGAGGGGAAGUAAUAAAAGUUGUACUGAGGGUACUUUGGAAAGCAUAUAUUUGGUGACCUAAUGUUCAAGUCUCUUAUAAGCAUAUUUUUGUUUAGAAUAGCUCCCCAAGGAGAACAAAAUACUUUAAUUAUUUAUAAAAUACAUUUAUCAUUUCUUUCCAUCUUCAUUCCAUCAUCCCUCUUCUCUCAGUCAUGUGUUUCCCCAAAAUAAUCUGUUAGAGAAGUGUUGAUAUUUUGAAUGGUUAGUAAAAAGCAAUCUGAAAGCAUGUCAAUGACAAAGGAUAGGACUUACCAUCUAAAGAUCCAUUUAUGAACAGCAAUUUACUCUUCUUUUUCUCCCUUCCCUCACUUUCAACAGCCAAAACUCAAGACUAUAUGUUAGAAUGGGAAAUAGUAAAAUAUGAUUAUAUCUCAAUCCACCUCAGUAUUUAACAGUUCUUUGUCAAUGUAAAUUGACUUCAACAACUGAUACAUUUUUUAACCAGUUAAGUCAUCAAUCAACAUAUUAACAUACUUAACAUUAGUAUUUAUAAUGACAAAAUUACUAUCUUUGAAAUAAACUGCCAACAAGGUACUCAGUAAUAACUGACCUCACUACAAUGGUAUUCUUUUAUAUAUGAAUAUUGAGUUAGUGAUAUUUGGGUUAGAUUUAGAAUAUGCAGCUGAGCUAACAUGCCUUAUCGACAUGUCUCUAAGCAUAUGCCAUUAAGAAACAUGUAUAUUCAAAGAAGGGAGGAAACAAAAUCUUAUAUAUAACUAUCAGAAAAUAAAAUAAUUCCUGGCCUGUAUUUUUGUUUUGUUUUGUUUUCAGUACUCAGAGAAGCAUAUGCCACUUCUGCCUCCACUCCAUCUCUAUCCCUUAGCCUUUUUAUACAAGUACAUCUUUCUUUAAUGACUUAAUAUUUAUAGCCUCUUUCUAGCCUUUCUAAAAACACACCAGAAAGAUAUACAAUAUAGCUACUCCUCCCUUAUUGAUUUUAUUAUAGAUAUUCACAAUCUAGUCAUAUCACCCCAUUAACAAGCACAUAUUUUGUUUCAAGCAUAUUAAUAGGGGAUAAUUUCUAGCAGCCUAGUCAAUCUAUUACCAUUCUUCUUAAAGACUGGUAGAGUUUCAAACUUGAAAAUUUUAUCAUCCACCAUGUGGGCCUUGAUCAAAGAAAAGGCAAAUUGAACACUGCAUAAGAAGAUCAAGUAAUAAGCAGUAAUUUAAAGCAGUGUAAAAAAGGAUCAGGGCCUUUAACUUAUUUUCAAUAGUACCUCUAGCUUGUUAUAAUCC